rnacentral:rRNA from 1 species
GAUGAACGCUGGCGGCGUGCUUAACGCAUGCAAGUCGAACGGUGAAGGCGGAGCUUGCUCUGCUGGAUCAGUGGCGAACGGGUGAGUAACACGUGAGCAAUCUGCCCCUGACUCUGGGAUAAGCGCUGGAAACGGCGUCUAAUACUGGAUACGAGCUGCGAAGGCAUCUUCAGCAGCUGGAAAGAAUUUCGGUCAGGGAUGAGCUCGCGGCCUAUCAGCUUGUUGGUGAGGUAAUGGCUCACCAAGGCGUCGACGGGUAGCCGGCCUGAGAGGGUGACCGGCCACACUGGGACUGAGACACGGCCCAGACUCCUACGGGAGGCAGCAGUGGGGAAUAUUGCACAAUGGGCGAAAGCCUGAUGCAGCAACGCCGCGUGAGGGACGACGGCCUUCGGGUUGUAAACCUCUUUUAGCAGGGAAGAAGCGAAAGUGACGGUACCUGCAGAAAAAGCGCCGGCUAACUACGUG